UACGGAGGGUGCAAGCGUUAUCCGGAUUCACUGGGUUUAAAGGGUGCGUAGGUGGGCAAGUAAGUCAGUGGUGAAAUCUCCGGGCUUAACCCGGAAACUGCCAUUGAUACUAUUUAUCUUGAAUACUUUGGAGGUAAGCGGAAUAUGUCAUGUAGCGGUGAAAUGCUUAGAUGUGACAUAGAACACCAAUUGCGAAGGCAGCUGGCUACACGGAUAUUGACACUGAGGCACGAAAGCGUGGGGAUCAAACAGG
rnacentral:rRNA from 1 species